AUGGAUACUGAGAAAGGCAAAGCAGCGAUAUCAGAUAAUGCCGAGGACCAUUCUGUUCAAAGAUCUUCAAACAUCAAACAUGUUGAAGAGUUUCACUUUGGGAAAGCAUUGGCAUUCAGAGCAGUGUAUGGUUCUAGUGGUUUUCAAGGCAGUAGAAGCAGAAAAACUAGAGGCAAUGUUUCCAAUACAUCAUCCCCAAGCAGGCUCAGUAAGGUCACAUACACAGUAGUUGUUGACGAUGACAAAGAUAACUAG